rnacentral:rRNA from 1 species
AUUGAACGCUGGCGGCAUGCUUUACACAUGCAAGUCGAACGGUAACAGGUUAAGCUGACGAGUGGCGAACGGGUGAGUAAUGCAUCGGAACGUGCCCGAUCGUGGGGGAUAACGCAGCGAAAGCUGCGCUAAUACCGCAUACGAUCUGAGGAUGAAAGCGGGGGACCGUAAGGCCUCGCGCGAUCGGAGCGGCCGAUGUCAGAUUAGGUAGUUGGUGGGGUAAAGGCUCCCCAAGCCGACGAUCUGUAGCUGGUCUGAGAGGACGACCAGCCACACGGGGACUGAGACACGGCCCAGACUCCUACGGGAGGCAGCAGUGGGGAAUUUUGGACAAUGGGCGAAAGCCUGAUCCAGCAAUGCCGCGUGCAGGAAGAAGGCCUUCGGGUUGUAAACUGCUUUUGUACGGAGCGAAAAGGCUCUCUCUAAUACAGGGGGCUCAUGACGGUACCGUAAGAAUAAGCACCGGCUAACUACGUGCCAGCAGCCGCCGUAA